GCUAGCUUCGUCGCCUCACAGCUGCGGCAAGACCCUGAAUUGGGCAGCAUCGCGAAGGACAAGGCCAAACUGCUGAAGGGACAUAUAACUUCACCUCUAUCGAGUCAUCACAUUGCUCAACCCAACCACAUCUCGAGAAUCUUGGAGGAGCUGGCGAGAAUCAAGGAGAAACAUCAGUUGAUGGUGAGAAUCUUGGAGGAGAAAGGGUGCAGAUUGAUGAAGAUGUUGAGGAGGUGUACGUGCAAGAAAACAUUGCUGUGGAGCCCCAGCAAACUCAACCAAAUUUGGCUACGGCACCCUCAAGAAAUGGAGAAGAGAAAGAACCAAAGAGGCGGAGGGGAGCGAAUGGUGAUGUGGCUGCAAUGAUGGAGAAGUACAUGGAAAUAAGGGCGAAGCAGGUGGAGGAUGAGAGGAAUAAGCCAAGGGUUGUGGAUGAGUACUCUAUCAAAAAUUGCAUCGAUCUGCUGAAAACAAUGGACAUCACACCUGAGGAAGAAGUCAAGGCUUUCCGAGUCUUCAAGAUCCCCAAGAACCGAGAGAUUUUCAUGAGUGCCAGACCAGAGACUACUCUUAUGUGCCUGAGAGCUGAAAAGGAAUAAGUUAGGUACUCAAAUUCUGCUUCUAUUUAAUAUGCCCGUUGUUAGCAUGUAGUUUUGAUGUACAACCUUGGUUUUCAUGGUACCCCUACUGGGACUCGCAUGUUCAUCUAGCUCACAUGAACCUGCCUUGUUCAUCUAGUAACCUGAAGCUGAUGGUUCAACUAGCUCACAUCAAAAGGUCCAUUUCUUAUUCUGGUUGUUGAUGAUAAUAAAACAAAGUUCUAUAACUUCUGCAACU